AUUGAACGCUGGCGGCAUGCCUAACACAUGCAAGUCGAGCGCGGGGCGGACGUGUGUGUCAUGUCUGGGACCCUGCCUUAUGGAGGGGGAUAACUACUGGAAACGGUGGCUAAUCCCGCAUACCAUCAGAUGUGCCCAGAUGGUAUUAGCUAGUAGGUGGGGUAAUGGCUCACCUAGGCGACGAUCCCUAGCUGGUCUGAGAGGGUGACCAGCCACACUGGAACUGAGACACGGCCCAGACUCCUACGGGAGGCAGCAGUGGGGAAUAUUGCACAAUGGGCGCAAGCCUGAUGCAGCCAUGCCGCGUGAGUGAAGAAGGCCUUCGGGUCGUAAAGCACUUUCAGCGGGGAGGCGUUACUCGCAGAAGAAGCACCGGCUAACUCCGUGCCAGCAGCCGCGGUAAUUC
rnacentral:rRNA from 1 species